UUGUUGAGUAUUGUGGAUACAUUCUUGUGGGGACAAAUAUACUUCAAGAAACUUGAAGGAAGGCUAAAGGAGUUCACAACAAAGGACAAUCAUCAAGAGUAGGCUCAACAUUUCCACAUAUGGAUUCAGGUUAGCUUCCGCUCAUGUAGUUUAUAUAUCCGAAUUAUUCAAUAUGAAGGCUGUUGUCUUUAGUAGGAAUCAUAAUCCUAACAUCCAAACCAUAAAAUGAUUCCUAAGGACAAGAUCUUUGAGUUGUAUAAGUCUAGAAAACGACAUGAAUUAAGAGAAAAAU
rnacentral:lncRNA from 1 species